rnacentral:snRNA from 1 species
AGCUCAACCAGUCCACCCACUUCAGCCUCCCAGAGUAUUAGAAUUACAGGCAUGAACCACUGUGCCCGGCUGGUGUCCCCUUUCUUUCUCACUGUGCUACGUGUGUCCCUUUGGAGGCUGUAUGCUGGGUCAAAGAGGACAACCUUUUGUGAUGGUGGAGGACCAUUCUUCAGUCAAGGGUAUACAAGUAUUUGUGCUCCCCUGCUAGAACCUCCAAACAAAUUUUCAAAUUAGCAUGUGCUAUUAUUGUAAGUGUAAAUAACACACUGGACAGU